CCACAGCUACAACCGCUCGGAACAAGUUUAAGUCGGUUUAGCCGCACUUGUUUUCGGCGAGUCUAAGAUGAGGA
rfam:Lactobacillus rennini DSM 20253 NODE_10, whole genome shotgun sequence.